GGAGGUUUAGCUCAGCAGCAUAAGCACCUGCCUUGUAAGCAGGCAGUCGUGAGUUCGGUCCCCGGUACCUCUA
rfam:Cavia porcellus supercont2_4 genomic scaffold, whole genome shotgun sequence.